AAUAAGUACAGCUUUGCACUAUUCACGUUCAACGUUUGACCGUUCGUUUUGUUUGAAAAAAUUUUAUGAUUAGUAUUUUUAUUGCUAUUAGAUGAUAAAAUAUGAAUAGUACUUUAUGUGUAACUAAAUUUUUUAAAUUUUUUCAUAAAUUUUUCAAAUAAGAUGGACGGUUAAACGUUGAACACGGAUAUCCACGGCUGCACUUAUU
rfam:Oryza glaberrima chromosome 2 Oglab02_0341_9, whole genome shotgun sequence.